GAUGAAGAACGUAGCGAAAUGCGAUAAGUAAUGCGAAUUGCAGAAUCCGUGAGUCAUCGAAUCUUUGAACGCACAUUGCGCCCUCUGGUAUUCCGGAGGGCAUGCCUGUUCGAGCGUCAUUAAUAUAUCAACCUUCUCUUUUUUGAGUUGUUUGGAUGUGGGGGUUUGCUGGCCUCUUAAAUGAUUCAGCUCCCCUGAAAUGCAUUAGCAGAACAACCUGUUCAUUAGCGUGAUAAUUAUCUAUGCUAUUGAAUGUGAGGGCAGUUCAGCUUUCUAACCGUCCUUGGACAAUUCAUCAUUAAUGUGACCUCAAAUCAGGUAGGACUACCCGCUGAACUUAAGCAUAUCAAUAAGCGGAGGA
rnacentral:misc_RNA from 1 species